AACGAACGCUGGCGGCAGGCAUAACACAUGCAAGUCGAGCGAGGACUUCGGUCCUAGCGGCGGACGGGUGAGUAACGCGUGGGAACGUGCCCUUUGCUACGGAAUAGCCCUGGGAAACUGGGAGUAAUACCGUCUGUGCCCGAGAGGGGAAAGGUUUAUCGGAAAAGGAUCGGCCCGGGUUGGAUUAGGUAGUUGGUGGGGUAAUGGCCUACCAAGCCGACGAUCCAUAGCUGGUUUGAGAGGAUGAUCAGCCACACUGGGACUGAGACACGGCCCAGACUCCUACGGGAGGCAGCAGUGGGGAAUCUUAGACAAUGGGCGCAAGCCUGAUCUAGCCAUGCCGCGUGAGCGAUGAAGGCCUUAGGGUUGUAAAGCUCUUUCAGUGGGGAAGAUAAUGACGGUACCCACAGAAGAAGCCCCGGCUAACUCCGUGCCAGCCGCCGCCGUAAGAC
rnacentral:rRNA from 1 species